rnacentral:rRNA from 1 species
UACGUAGGGUGCGAGCGUUGUCCGGAAUUAUUGGGCGUAAAGAGCUUGUAGGCGGUCUGUCGCGUCUGCUGUGAAAAUCCGGGGCUCAACCCCGGACUUGCGGUGGGUACGGGCAGACUAGAGUGAUGUAGGGGAGACUGGAAUUCCUGGUGUAGCGGUGAAAUGCGCAGAUAUCAGGAGGAACACCGAUGGCGAAGGCAGGUCUCUGGGCAGUAACUGACGCUGAGGAGCGAAAGCAUGGGGAGCGAACAGG